AUUGAACGCUGGCGGCAGGCUUAACACAUGCAAGUCGAGCGGAGCGGCGGACGGGUGAGUAAUGCUUAGGAAUCUGCCUAUUAGUGGGGGACAACAUCUCGCAAGGGAUGCUAAUACCGCAUACUAUCAGAUGAGCCUAGGUCGGUUUAGCUAGUUGGUGGGGUAAAGGCCUACCAAGGCGACGAUCCGUAACUGGUCUGAGAGGAUGAUCAGUCAAACUGGAACUGAGACACGGUCAAGCGGCCUACGGGAGGCAGCAGUGGGGAAUAUUGGCCAAUGGGCGAGAGCCUGAUCCAGCCAUGCCGCGUGUGUGAAGAAGGUCUUCGGAUGGUAAAGCACUUUAAGUUGGGAGGCGUUACCAACAGAAUAAGCACCGGCUAACUUCGUGCCAGCAGCCGCGGUAAUUC
rnacentral:rRNA from 1 species